AGGGCUCUAGUUCUUUCUACACUCUGACUCCAGCUUGCCAGUAUUAUUUUUUUAUUUUUAAAUUUCUUAUUAGAAUAUAUAACAGAUAUGCAUAAAAGUGCACAUUUUGCAAAUAGAAAAUGCAGAUCAAGUCUCGUGGGGAAGCUUAAUAGAGUGAGGGAUUGGCACUGUGGCGUGGAUAACCUGAGAGAAAGAGGGGUGCAGAGUGAGCUGUGAGGGUAGCUGAAUGGUCGUGGGGAGACUCCAGUGUCUCCAUUGUCCCUUUCCCUGAGUGGCUUCCCUCAGGGUCCUGAGGACAGCAGCAGCCCAGGCCUCAGUAUGAGUAGGAGCCUCAGUUCAGCCAACUGCCUAUUACUAUGGCCGUAAUCCUUCUCCUUCUUCCCUUUUCUUUUCCUCCUCUUCCUCCUUACAUUCCUCCUUCUUUUUCUCUUUCUUAGUUGUCUCCUCUUUCUCCUCCUUCCUUGUGCUUCUCUUCCUUUCUUUCUCUUCCUUUUUCUUCUUCCUUUUCCCCUUCCCCCUCUGUCUCUUUUCCUUCUCCUCCUUCUCCUCUCUUUCUGCUCCUUCCCAUGCUACCUACUUUCUCUCCUCUUAAGCCUUUGCUUUUUCAGUAUUUAACCAAGAACACAUGCCCUGAGCUAUUUCUCACUGCUGCACCCCUACUAAAUCUUGAAUCAGAGUCUUAUUAAGUCACUAAGGUGGGGCUCAGACUUGAGAACCUUCUGCCUCAGCAUCCCAGAGUGCUAGAGUUACAGGCACGCACCACUGCACCCAGCUCUGGCCCAUCUUCUGCUCUCCUCCACUUUUUGUUUCUAACUUCACACUGGUUGCUACCUUAAGCACCAACCGUGGCGGAGAGUUGGGUGGCACUUCAUCAGUGUCUCAUGUGUUCACAAGGCACCUGCCACGUUUCCCAGGCCCUCUUGCUCAGUGAGCUGCACUGAACACUAAAACCAGAGUAGUAGCCUGAUGCUGAGCACAUGAGACAGCUCCCAGGGCUGGUUCGUUUCUGCUGGUCUCAGUGGACUCCUGUGUUGCAUGGGUCCAAUGAGUGACAAGUAUUUAAAAUAUUUCCAAUUCCCAGCAUGCCUUGAGAGUCUUACAUCUGUACAUAUUUUUCUUUUCCUGAGAUCCUUUGAAUACUAGAGGAGAAUUCAAACUACUGGGUAGAAUUCAGGUUUUGCAUGUUAUUUCAAAGAAAUUAUAUUUUAAAGUGGAAAGAAUGAUAUUUUAAAGUGGAAAGAACCUGGGUGAAAUUCUCCCUUAUCCUUUCUUUCUAAACCAGAAAAUGGAGUACCGCUACAUACUUUUCUGGGUCUGUGUUUAAAGACCUAAAGUGUAAAUGUUUGUGCCUUUACCUGCCUUGUAACUUCUUAUGAGCACAUUUUAUAUCACUAAAAGUUGGCAGAGUGCUUCACUCUCAGUGAAACCGAAGGCACUGGGCAGUGUAUGCCCGGGCAAACAUCAAUGGUUAAGGGAUUUCAUUAGCUGUGUUUAUACCAAAGGGAAUUAGACACUUCGAUAUUCGUUACUCCCCCUUCAAUUCCACUAGCCUUCCUUGAGCUUCCUUCUCAGAGGUGAGGACCCUCCCCGGGUAUUUCAGUGCCUGCUGGUUUAACAGGUGACCUGGUGAAGGCUCCAGCCCAGCUCUGCCGCUGCCCCCUCCAGCCCUGUUUUACCGCGGUGUCCGGAGGGCAUAGCAGCCGCCGAGGGAGAUUGAUGGUCUUCACUUUAAUACCAUAAGCCCCGUAGGGUCCACGCUGGCGUCAUCAUUCUUCCUCACCCGGCUGUGUGAAGGCUGCCAUCGCUAUGCCCGGAGAUUGAUGUCUCUCUUACUCUAAAUCUUCAGGAUGAAGGAAUUCAUCAAGGGUUCCUCAAAAUCUGCUGGACUUUGAAGUUUUCCCUAAGGCUUCAAGAGUCCAGUGAUCAGAGAUGGAGACGGGUAGUCAGGUCUGUUGUGGCCUUAGUUAUGGAGCUGGAGAGAUGGAGCACCAAACUCGAGACUGUUCACUUGGCCACUGUCACCCGAGUAGCUCGCUGGACCUUGCCUUGCACUUCAAGGCUGCUCCUGGGAGUGAGACUCCAGCCACAGUUGGUAAAUCAGCCUCCUGGGCCUGCGGAAGGUCUUGCAGAAAGAACCCUUACACUCCUGACUGCUGGGACCUUCGUUGGCUGUUUUUGUUUAGAUUCCCAAAGCACUAAUGCUACUAUAGGACUUUCCCCCAGAACUCGAGGAACACAGGCUCCCCACUGGCUCUCUCUCCCUGGUUCACCACCACUUCCUCAAUGGAAGGGCAGUGGUAGAUGAGGACAGGGCGGGUGCUUCUGAACCGGGUUCCCCAGGAGCGGUUCUGUUCCCAGUGAGCAUGUGAGCAUGAUGAAAGAGGGAGGGGUAAAAAACAAGAAACUUCGAGGAGCUGGAUGCAGCAACAGCCCAUGCGGCCUAAAGGAACAAGAAGGAACAUCUAAAAAGCUGGUGAAUAAUGAGAAGGUGGUGGAGAAUUGGGGGAUGCUGCACUUUGUCGAAGAGCAGGAGAUGGGGAGUGGGUCAGACUGUGAUUUCUGAAAUCAAGUUUUGGAGGUCGUGCUGAUUUCAGGAAUAGCAAGGUAGUGAGUGAUAGUAAAAUUAGAUAAGUGAAGGAAAAGGUGUGUGAGUGGGAGAGGGAGGAGGCCUGAGAAUCCUGGUAGUAGCUAGCUGCCCUCCUGCUGCACACACAGCUUGAUAUUUUCUACCUGCUGGUCUAGCUUUCCAACAAGCCUGCUAUUCUCGCAGAUAAGGACUCCAUUUGUCUUGGCAAAGGCUUUUACUCUAAUGCCCAGGGCCUUGAUCCAUACAAAUACUCAGUGAAGAAGUGAACAAACAAAUAAGUCCUUCCUUUAAAGAAUUCUGCAAAUUACACCUGAUGCAAGAAGGCCUGCUUGUGGGAUUUCUUACGGGCCCUGGUUUCCCCUAUCGUGCACAGAUGACGUGUGACACUCUGCUUUGCUCCUGCAGGUGGCUCCCGUCUAACCUGUCUUGGUAUCUACCAGACGAUGUUGUGGAGGAGGUCACUCGUUGUUUCCUACAAUAGUCCCUUCACUGGCUCCCACCAGGGACAUCAGAGCUGUGAUUUCCCUCAGUGAAUGACCUUUUCUGUGAGCCUCCUAAAGCCGUCCCAGAAGGGAGCUAAAGACUGUUAUCACCAGUAUGCAGAUAAGAAAUGCAGGCAGAAAAGUCACAAAAAAUUGGCCAAGGUUAUUGGCAAGUGGUAAGUGCAGCAUUGAAGUCUGAUUCCCAAGCAGCUAAGCUCAACUCUUGCACCAGAAUGGCUGAUUUCAAGGGAAAGGAAGAGAAUGCCUGCAGUGGUUGUGUUCCCAGAGCCCUGGAGGUAAUAGAGACAGUUGCUUGGCUGGCUCACAUCAGAAGAUAAUCUAAUGACCCACUUUAAGACAAAGCUAUGGCCAUGCCCACAGGACACAUGUCUCGCAUUUCCCCAGAUAUUUUCUCUUUUAUCCUCUGCCAUCAAGAGGGUGGUGGCUAGCUAGCGGCAUUUUAAGAAAGCAUUAAUAAUGGAUCAAAAUACCUUUCUGAUGGAAAAGCUAUUGAUAGCUUAUUAAAGAAUAACACUCUUCUGACUUGCCUGGAGUUGACUGAAGAGAGAAAAUGAAACAAAUUUGCAGCCUGCUGUCUUGUUCUGGUUCCUUCUGAAAAAUAAAUAAGCCAAUAAGCCACUGUGGCAAUACUGUUGGCUGGGUGUGUGGAGUUGCGGGCUGUAAUAUGCAUUCAGCAAUCAGGAAGUGUGAACUCGCAUUGCUAACUACGCAUUCACUGCUGAGGUCUGUGUUUUAAUAAUUCUUCAUGUCCCCAUAGGAAGAGCAAUGUUGAAUUUAUAUGUUGUAUUCAGUUGUUAUCUACAAGUUUACUGUCAAUUCCACAUCGCACCUCCGGUACUACAAAGAAAGAGACCCUGUGUAUUUUAUGGUGGCCCAAAUAUGUUGGGAUCCUCCUGGGCUUGUGCAUUAUUCUAUCAGGGACAUACAGGUGCAUCUGCCAUGGACGCAUGUAACCUUAGAGAAAACUUGUUUACAUUUUGGUGAAAAGGUAAUGAAUGCUCACCAUACAAGAUUCAAAAGAUAUUACUCAGAUGUACAGUAAAGCAAGUCUUCCUCUCUACCUCCAAAUCACGGCACUUCCUGUUUUCCUUUCUUUGUGGCACAGGUAUCUCAGGGAGGAUGAUUCGACACUAGAUUUUGUUUUUUAGGUUCUGGGAAUUGGACCUGGGAAGCUCUAAGUUUCACCCUUAGCCCUUUUUACUUUUUGACACAAGGUCUCGCAGUUACCCUGACUGGUUUCCAAGUGGAGCUGGCCUCAGCAUCCUGAGCAGCGGGGAUACAAGUACCAAGCAGGCGUGCCUAGUAAAAUCAGAAUAUUUUUGACUCAAUCAAAAAUCAAACCAUUAAAUAUUCAUUUUUAAAGAAAUUAUGCAGAAACCCCCAUUGCAUGGUGCACCUUGGCACCCACUUAGAACAGGUUCUCUUCACCCCAACUUGGAUCUAAAGACCACUAACAAGGAGAUGAGGGCUAAGGUGAUGGAUGUCGGGGAUCCCACGAGGCUUGGCAAGGAGCAAGGAUGUUAAAGAGUCAAAAACAGGCGAGGAUGAGAGAUGGGGUGAGAAGCAGGAGGGUGUUUGGCACCAAUUAAUUUUUAAAAUCCAAUUUUUAAAUCUCAAAUUGGCUGUUUCGUGAAGUCCUGUUUUAUGUAUGUGAAGCAUUAUUGACAGAGCUCAGAUGAGCUUGGGGUCUGAGGAGAUUAUGUGGCUGCCUCAAGGAACAGAGCAGGAGUUCACAAGUGCUAGCAGGGUCAGCACAGAAGGUGUCCUGUAUGCUUCAGCCCCUGUCACUGGUGGGACUGAGCUGGUGCCCCACACAAAGCAGUGUGAAUGAGCGGAGGGAGGAGCUCCCAGGCUUCUCUGCAGCCUUCCUGUGCCAUGAGGUAUCUGCAGUGCUUUCCCCAGGGCUGGUCUUCCCUUCUCCCUGGAGCAUGCAAGAACUCAUAGCUCCGGCUUACUGCACCAUGGUGGGGUGGACGUAAGGAAUGUAUCCAGAAGGGGUGCGAGAAGAGAGUACAGGCUGUGGAAGGGCGUGAGAAAAGGGACAGGGUGGGAGGUCUAUGCACCCUGUGGGUUGGUGGAUGGGACGGUCAGUGUGUGGGUGAGGAUGAACACAACACAACCCUUUCUCUAGGGAAACUCAGGCCUUGCAUGGAGCGGGCAGCCUCAGUCCCUUUGUCAGUGUAGGGGUGUGGCCCGAGCUCAGAGUGACAAGGCAGCUGAGGGUGGCUUGGAGAGAGGAGCCCUAGAUGUCACUGUACCAAGAGUGCAGGAAUACAGCUUGAGCAAACCACUAUGGACAGUGUCCUUCUCUCACUGGACACAUAGCAUCUUUAUGCCCACUGUCUUCCUAUGUGACAUUGGCUUUAAAUGUAUUUAGAUGUUACUUGGUGUGUGUGUAAGAAGGCUGGACCUCAGGUACUCUAGAAUGUUCUUUCUUCAAGUCUUAGUUUAGAUCUUCGAGGCAAGAAUUUCAUUAAUCCUGGAUUAGCCAGUCAGGAUUCCCAUUAACAGGUGGAUCUACCACACCCUUAAUCAGCUGGAAACGUGUGGACACUGCAGCUAGGUCAAGAGCAAGAGUGGAUUUCCAGUGUUGGAGCCCCAUGGGGUAGCUCAGUCAGCUUUUGGGCCGGAGCUGGUGGGAUGCAGCCCAAACAGUAGGGUGUGUGAGUGCGAGUCCUCAAAGAUGUGUACAGGCAGGUGACUGUGUGUGAGAAGAAACAUUCCUCUCCUAAUGUUUGAAUUCUAAGACUCUCAGCCUUGCAAUGCAGACAAGAAAAGGUAAGUCAGAUGCAUAAGAGCAGACACCGAGCUGGCAGGCAGCAUCAGAGCUUCCGGGGCCCAUUUAACUGAUCUGAACACCUGCUGAUAUCCUGCUCCCUGGUGGACAAGACAGGGAGGAGGGAGGUAAGACACAAUCUCUGCCCUGGAGCAGCUGUCCUGCUUAUGGCAAAAGGACAUGAAACCAAGUAAGCAUCAGAUGGGCCGAAAAUCAAAUAAGUGUUAAGUAAGUAUAAAUAAAAUGAUGAGGGUUUGAAUUUUAAAAUGUACAGAACCAUUUAAAAAGUCAUGCUGUAUGACUGCAUUUAUGUCAGCCACAAAGACAGACAAAAUGUGCCUAUGUCUCACAAAUCAGGAACUUUAGCUUGGGACAAAGGGCCUGCAGGGUACAGAAAGGGCUGAGGAGGGUGGUUAUAUUCUGUGUCUCAAACCCUGUGCCAGCCUUGUGAGUAUGUCCCUCUGUGAACGCUUACUGGGUGAGACACGGAAGUGCCAUUGUCUUGGCAAAUAUCCUAUUUCAAUAAAAUGUUAAAAAGCUA